rnacentral:lncRNA from 1 species
GCGUCGUCCCAGACACCCGAUGUUACAAGACCGUUAUAAAAAGUCUCAUUUUCACUGUUCUUCGUGCCUCUAAGUCCAUUCUUUGGGUUUGAACGGGUGAGUGUGUUUCUCACAACCUGAGGGCCCGUUCGGGAUCUCUGUGCCUACGUGGAGUGGGACUCCGGCUGAGAGAAGAGACAUGUCCCACCCGAUUUUUGUGCCCCACUCUGUCUGGGUGUCCUGGCUCCCCACAGAAGCCAUAGAUAAACCCGAGACUGUUAUUCAGGAGACGGUGGAGGUGACGCAGGGAGAAAAGCAGGCACUGCGGCAAACAGGCAACCUCGUGCACCAGCCAAGGUUGGGUAUUUCCUUCAGCCUAUUAAAGGAAUUGGGAACCUGUGGUACCGUGAAAAUAGCCUGCAGACCAGAGAAUAAGGAAAAGUUGUUUCCUGCCAAAGAACAAGCAGUAUUGUGAAAUAUAAAAUUUUAUUGUUGCGGUGAAAGAAAAUUUCAGUAUCAAAUUUUUGAAAACAGUA